UUGUUUCUGCCCUCAACUUUACUAUUGUCCUUUUAUGUUCCUCUUUUAGAUUCAUUCUAAAGAUUAUAAGAUACAUAGGUUGUAAAACUACAGUUGGAGAUGGAUACUGGCUGAUUACUCAACGAUGCAUAAAGAUAGGAACAAUGGCCAAACCUUAAUAUAUAUAUUCAAAUCCUAAUUCAAACAAAUUUGAAUUAGGAAGAAGAGAAAGGACCCUUUAGCUACUUGAUAUUCGUUACCCUAAAUCUUUCUGGCAGAAGGUCUUGGAUCAAAAUAAAUCGCAUGUGGAUGACGUAAGAGUAACAAGUUGCAACUACUUAUGAGUUCUGCUUAUUAUUUCUCUUGGAUAUUGACCUGAAGAAAAACAAAUAAAGAUUAAAGGAGGUAGGUGGAUAAGGGUUGUGAGAUUUGAACAUAAUCUCCUCCUUCAACCAAUUCAUUGCUUCUACUCUGGUAAUUUCAUUUGGGCCUCAUAAACAUAAUUUUGGAUAGAAAUGUUCUUUUGUCUCCCUUGCAAGAUCCUCCAAGUAUCUUCUUUUACAGAUGCCCUUGUUUAUAUCAUUAUGCUUUUGAUGCCAUACCUAUGUUGCUCAGUUAGUCAUAUUAAGUCCCUCGAAGUGUGAUGCUGUUUAUUAAUCACCUUCAGCAUCUCACCUAAUCAUUUGCCUAUUUCUUCCAUAAUUUGUUCCCAAGAGCUACCCUCAUGCUGGUUCUGCAAACUCUCUCUUGUUGCCUUGAACCAGCAUAGGCUCUCAUGUUCCUCGGUCAUGCCCAAACUAGAUCCUUUGAUUGCCAUCAGUUCCUAUAAUUACAAAACAACCUAAUUGCAUGAUACCACCUAUUAUGAAACCUCUCUUCAAUUAUGCUAAGGCCUUAAUUGCUUCAACUACGCCUUGCACGUAAGCCAAGUUAGCCUCUCACAGUCUCACUGUUGUUUGGGUGUGAAGAAACGAAAGAAAGUAGUAAAUAUGAGUUUUUGAACGAGAGAGAUCAUAGUGAAACCAGAAGAAUCAAACUUGGUUUCUUAGUUCUCAUCCAACCCUCUCUCAGGAAUAUUAAUAACAUACACUAAGAAUGUUCCAGGUGAAAAUUUCCAGAACCUUCAAACAUAGUCCUAUACGUAAUGCAUUAAUAUCCUCUAGGACCCUCUGUUCGCUAAUUUCAGUACAUCUGCGGACUGCUAUUGAGAACUCACCUUGAAGUCUUCCAGCUGACCCAGAAUAAGUAUUAUCAGUGAAUCUUGAUGUAAGAGUUGGGGGACUGUUAUAGUAAGCUUGGUUCAAGAUGUAUGAGUUCAAUCAUCUUAUGCCCAACCUUGAAUUGAGUAAUAGCUCAAGCACUAAAUUAGUAGCUUGAAUUUUGAGCUCCUCUCCCCCCUCCCCACUCCCCAAUGUAUACUUGUACUAAAAUAUAGACGUACGAGAACUUUUCAAUUCCAGGGAAUUGAAUUUCAUGGAGGAUUCGCUGCUGGGAUAUCUUCAUUUUUCAGCAAUGUGCUCUUGUUGCCAACUAAAGAAUUAUGAUUUUCGGGUAACAAGAUUUCGUGAUGGUUUCAGCGGUGGGGAUCUUCAAUUUUAACCUGUAGGUUUUUUGAAUGUAAGCACUGGGGUUCAGGCAACAAGGAGGUAGUAGACAUACUUACUCACUCAUGCUGGAUCUGCAUUGGUAAAUCUGCACCCUGGUCUGAGCUUUGUCAUGGAUUUGCUCAUUGGUGUGACCUUUUUCUUUUCUGGGCUGGGCGACCAGAUGAUUAAGUUGAGGAAGAGGAUGGAAUUGAGACUGAGAUUGUCAUAUCAGGAUGCUGGUUCAGAAAUCAGUCUCCAGAUCAACAAUCCAUAUGCUGGAGCUAAAGUUUUGGAAUGAAUGUUGAAGCUUCCGUCAUUUUGUCAGGAAGAGAAGCCUUUAACAAGUUACUCAAGCCUCACGGAGAAACCUGUUACUGGAUUUCAAUUCUCAUUAAACAUGCUUGUCUCAUUGUGGAAACUGGAAAAAUACAUUUUUGAAUCUUCAACAGAGCUGUGCCUUUGUAUCUCUUUCAGCCUGGGUCAGAUGCUUGGAAAUGUAGAGAAUUCCUGACAAGCAUUUUCUUUGGAAGUCUGCACAUGGAUGUAAGUAUAUCGAACAAAACUGAGGUGUAUUUAAACUCAAAAUACACAGAAUUCAGAUAGGAACAAGUCAUUAGAUCACUGGAGGUAUGAAAAAGUCUACUUUCAUUUAAUAGAUCAUUCUAUUGAAAGGAGAAAGGGUAAAGCAUAGCCUUGUCGGGGCUAAUGAUUUCUCACUGGAAAAUGAAGUGGCUAUCUCAGUUCAUGUUGCGAUACGACAAUGUAAGUCAGUUUCUGGCCAUCCAGCUGUAUACAGGUCCAACUAAAUGUUAAGCAAAGGACUGAACUUCCCUGUAAUUAUCUACUCCCAUCAUCUAUUAAGGUUCCCUUUGUACUCAAAACUGACUCUGAGUUACUAGAACAGAAGAGUACUGUUCAUGGUUGUGCUUUUCAUCACCUUAUUUUCUAUCUAACUUCAACAGUGUUGUUAUUUCAGUUUCGAUAGAAUUUUCUUCUGCCCUUUAAUUCCAAUGGCAGGUGCACAUCUUAGUGGUGAAAGGAGGAGAAAAUGAAAGAAGAAACGUAAAACAGGCUUGCGGCACGCCCACCGGCCAAGUUGGGAGUCGUCUUCAACACAGUUGAAGUCUAUGUAUCAGUGUUUCCUGUAGCUGCUGCAUCAGAUAACCAGCAACAUGAGUCUCUGAUUUGAUAUUUGCACCUGAUUCAGAACAAACAAGUUACAAUUUAUCAAUCAAUCCUACUGAUUGAGCGAAUUUGGAGCACUAGCGAAAGUAGAACUGGUGUGCCUACAAGAUAGUCGUAAAGGAUGUCAUGACGACGUUAGGCCACCUCUUAAUCAGUUUACGCCCGACACGGAAAUUGAUGCACUAAACAUCAAGGCUGUGUUUACCAGAUGGGAAUACGCAGUAGAUUCGGGCUAAUCGGGGUCAUCAGCCUAUUUACUUGCGAAAUGUGCGGCCGGUACUGACGUCUGAAGCCCGGUUCUUGGCUGGAUUAAACACGGCAUAUGGAUCCGGGCAAGAGGGGUGGGAUUCGAAUCCAGACCAGCUAUCCCACCUUUCAUGCUCUGUUGGUUUGACUUUGUUACCCUAAAAUUAGCUUAGGAAAUGUCGGAAUUGUCCUCGUACACUUACCUACCGACUUUAAUUUUCUGUCACAUUUUUCAUUUUCCAUCAUCGUGUUCUCCACCAUUUCAAAAUCACGCUUUACCGGAAGGGCUUCUGCAGACACAACGUCCUUGUGGCCGCGAGGUGAGUUCAUCAUGGCCGGUGACUUGAAUGUAGGUGACAACGUGACUCUGUAGCUACGUUUUUUGGCUCUCAAGUAUUACGUGGUCCAUGGUUUAUUCGAAAUUCAAUUUUUGGGAUAGCAUUUUUGGGAAUUGAUUGGCCAACACAUCCAAUCACAUUUACAAUCACUCCACUAUAAAUGAAACCGGAUUUGCACUGCUUCCAUACGUAUAAACAUAUCCAACUGUUUCAGACCCACCCACCUUACCUUUUCCCAAAAUAGCAUAUGAUGUGGCCCGACGGGUUUUACUAUCAACGGUAUAUGUUUUACUGUGCCAAAUGGACUAAGGAAAUGGAGAAAAUUUUUGUUGCGAAAUUGAUUGAGCAUGCCAAGAAAGGCCGUUUUCACCCUGACCGUGAAAACAAAUUUGCCAUCCUUUAGAUGAGGUGCAUAAUUGUCAUGGUGGUAAAAUCUACUUUGGUUGGGGUAAAUACGUCGUCAAGUUCCUUUUAUUUGGGAAGCUGGUGAACCGCCAGGAUGUUAUCUGGAACGAGCGCCUGCGAUUCGUGACUGCUCUGGAUUCCACAUGCAAGGAUUUCUGUAAGUUUUGUAGUAAUCUCGCACAGGGAAGUGCUACGUCAACGCUUAUGAGGAUAUGUGGGAUGGACAGUGUCAGCUUUUCACUCAGCUUGUGGAUUCGGAUUCGGUAUGCGCUGAAGAUGCAUCUCAUCAUGCGAAAGGAGAUGAUGCCGAGAAACCGUCCAACGAUACUGCUUUGGUAGAACCAACCAAAGCAGUGGUCGAUGAUCAAAGCGAUCCGUGCCCAUAUUGGUACAUAUCCGACAGUCCGACCUCAAGCUCCUCGUUGUGGAACUUCAUAGACGAUUUCUAUGGAUGCAGGGACGAUGCAGACUCGCUGCAGCAGCUGCCAGGUGUCCCAAACCCCGAAAGGCAGCCAAAAAUGCCGAAAUGUGAGAGCCCUAGUGCUGCAAUGUCGGAAGGCCAGGCGAGCUCGUCCGCAUCCAAUCGGACGCCGGUGAAGAAGGUGGACUGAUGCUGGAGAGGUUGAAGGAGAGGCGCGCGAGGUUGACGUGAAGGUGGUUGAUGAAGGAUGUCAUUUUGAGGUUUUUAAGUGCAUGCUGGUGAUUUUCUGUAUUACACUUAUGCAUUUAUGUAUAUAUAUAUUUAUGUAGGUAUAAAAUAUGUAUUACUACAAUGUUUGCGGAAUGUUUUUGGGGAAUGAUGUUGUCCUUUGCAUCAUUUUCUCACUCCGCCGUACUUUAUUUUACUUUCCUUUUUAGUAUGACUGUAUCUAUAAUUACUGCGUAUCAGAUUUUAGGGACGUAGUUAUAAGUGCCGCUUUAGGCGAUGAAUGUUUGUACCUGUCAGGUGCAGGUGUUUUGUAUUCCCAUGUAUUUGAGUGGGCAGUGCAUGUUUUGUCCUCAUUCUGUCUGAGGGACCACAUGCAUGUUUUCAACAUUUCA